GACCCUGGCGGCCUCCCUGGCGGCGGCGGCCGCGGCCGGAGCUCUGGGGAGGAAGCUGCUUCCUGGAGGGGGCGCACACUCCCCAGAGAUCGCCAUUUACCUGACCUGAAGUCUUUUCUUGCCUCUCAGCCGGUGGAGUGGGGUACCUCUCUAUUCUACCCCAGGGGGAUACCGGUCGCCUGAGGAGCCCCCAGCCCAGACCUCAGUGGUCCUCACCUUGCACAUUUCUUAACCCCACAAAGCCCCUAAUCCCGAGGAGCCCUGGACCCGUUUCCGCAAGAAGUUUCUUCCUGUCAUCCAUCCCAGGAGUGCCCCGUUUAAACUCCUGAGCCUCCCUCGCCCCUAACGCCUUGUCCCAGGUCUCACUCCGUAACCCGAGGAGUCCCCUAGCCGCCACCCCGGGGACCCAGCCCCUCCUCUCCAACUGCUUUCCUCUGCAGGCCUCGCCAAUGCCUCCUAAACAGCUUUGCGCUUCUUGAGACCCUCAUCUUUGUGGGGCGGGAGACCCUCCUUGGGUCACCCGAUCCACCCGACUCUCUUCCUUUGAGCGGCGUGAAGGCAGAGGUGCUACGUCUCAGGGAUCACAGAGCUUGUGGGGAAUGAUCUAUUGAAACAUCAACACUGCCAAUCUGGCUGGAGCCAGAGUGUGCGAAGAUAACUCACUUUUUAUCGUGUGAUUAUGUGCCAGGCAGCAAGAUACAAGUUGUGGUUUGCCAACCUCUGAUCUAGAACAAGAUACCACGUCUCCCGGGAAAGUCUUUCCUGGAACCCAUGGCUUUAUCUUCACUCUGCUCACAUACUGCUUGUGGCAAGAUCCACUUCCCACAUUCACAAUGUCUUAUUAUAUACUCUGAUGCUGGGAAAGAUUGAAGGCAGGAGGAGAAGGGGACAACAGAUGAUGAGAUGGUUGGAUGGCAUCACCAACUCGAUGGACAGGAAUUUGAGCAAGCUCCAGGAAUUGGUGAUGGACAGGGAAGCCUGGCAUGCUGCAGUCCAUGGGGUUGCAGAGUUGGACAUGACCGAGCAACUGACCUUAUUAAACAUUUAUCUCUAUCGGGGAGUAACUUCUGUGAAGGUUCUGAAGGUUGGGAUUGACACUGCGAAUUGCACGCAUGUACGCCUUGAGCAGCUGAAUGUCUCGCUUCUGUUGGAGGGAAGGAGAACAAGGGAUAAUGGUUAAGACAGACAAUGGAUGAAAGACAAAAUGAAGGAAAUCGAGAGGUCUGAGGAACAACCAGACUGGAAGGUUCAUGAAGACAGGGAUACGACUGUAUCAAUCCCAGCUGUACCCUCAGUGCUUGGCAAAGUGCCUCCAAGGGAAGGCAUUUGAUAAAUGGUAAAUAAAUGAAUGUCACUGAUGGGAUAAUGAGGAACAAGAAGAGCUCCAGUCUGAUUCGCUGCUAUGCAUAGGCAGGGUAUCCACUAACCAGGCUCACAAGCACAGGCACAGAUCCGCCGCUCACAUCCGUGCCUAUCAACCACAGGCACACACUCUGUG